rnacentral:tRNA from 1 species
GCGGAAGUGGCGGAGUAGGUAGACGCGUUAGAUUUAGGAUCUAAUGAAAAAAUUCAUGAGAGUUCGAAUCUCUCCUUCCGUA